ACAGAGGGUGCAGGCGUUAAUCGGAAUUACUGGGCGUAAAGCGCGCGUAGGCGGCUUGACAAGUCGAGUGUGAAAUCCCCGGGCUUAACCUGGGAGCUGCAUUCGAAACUGUCUUGCUAGAGUAUGGGAGAGGGAGGUGGAAUUUCAGGUGUAGCGGUGAAAUGCGUAGAUAUCUGAAGGAACAUCUGUGGCGAAGGCGACACCCUGGACCAGCACUGACACUGAGGCACGAAAGCGUGGGGAGCAAACAGGA
rnacentral:rRNA from 1 species